AGUGAACGCUGGCUGUAGGCCUAACACAUGCAAGUCGAACGGCAGCACAGGAGAGCUUGCUCUCUGGGUGGCGAGUGGCGGACGGGUGAGGAAUACAUCGGAAUCUACUCUGUCGUGGGGGAUAACGUAGGGAAACUUACGCUAAUACCGCAUACGACCUACGGGUGAAAGCAGGGGAUCUUCGGACCUUGCGCGAUUGAAUGAGCCGAUGUCGGAUUAGCUAGUUGGCGGGGUAAAGGCCCACCAAGGCGACGAUCCGUAGCUGGUCUGAGAGGAUGAUCAGCCACACGGGAAGUGAGACACGGUCCAGACUCCGACGGGAGGAAGCAGUGGGGAAUAUUGGACAAUGGGCGCAAGCCUGAUCCAGCCAUACCGCGUGGGUGAAGAAGGCCUUCGGGUUGUAAAGCCCUUUUGUUGGGAAAGAAAUACAGCUGGAGAAUACCCGGUUGGGAUGACGGUACCCAAAGCAUAAGCACCGGCUAACUUCGUGCCAGCCGCCGCCGUAA
rnacentral:rRNA from 1 species